rnacentral:rRNA from 1 species
GGGUCAGUAGGUUGGUCGUGCCACCGGUACGUACUGGUCUCACUGAUUCCUCCUUCCUGAAGUACCGUAAUGCCAUUAAUUUGGUGUUGCGGGGAAACAGGACUGUUACUUUGAAAAAAUUAGAGUGUUUAGAGCAAGCUAACGCUUGAAUACAUUAGCAUGGAAUAAUGAAAUAGGACGAUCGAUCCUAUUUUGUUGGUUUCUAGGAUUGACGUA